GAUGAAGAACGCAGCGAAAUGCGAUAAGUAGUGUGAAUUGCAGAAUUCAGUGAAUCAUCGAAUCUUUGAACGCACAUUGCGCCCCUUGGUAUUCCAUGGGGCAUGCCUGUUCGAGCGUCAUUUGUACCUUCAAGCUUUGCUUGGUGUUGGGUGUUUGUCUCGCCUUUGCGUGUAGACUCGCCUUAAAAUAAUUGGCAGCCGGCGUAUUGAUUUCGGAGCGCAGUACAUCUCGCGCUUUGCACUCAUAACGACAGCGUCCAAAAGUACAUUUUACACUCUUGACCUCGGAUCAGGUAGGGAUACCCGCUGAACUUAAACAUAUCAAUAAGCGGAGGA
rnacentral:misc_RNA from 1 species